GUUUGUCAAGAACCAAAGCAAUAGAGUCCUUACAUGAAAUAAGAAGUUUCAAAAACACAGAGCUUUCAGUUUUUCUCUAGAAAGCUUCUUAGCUAGUUUUAGGUUCCGGUGAAGGUCUGGCCUUUUGGUUGUCGAUCCUCCACCUAUCUCUUUCUUUAGUUGUGUUUUUUCUCCUCGGUUCUUAGUUUUUCUGUUUAGUCUUCCUUCUUUGCCUUGAUCUUCAGCUAUGGAGUUGAGUACCCCUCUUUAUGAGGGGUUUUUGCUGGGCCUUUAAGGGAUGAUCUGCAUGUGUGGUUCUUGUUGAUCUUCAUGAUUCUACUUGGGCGUAAACGACGCAGACUUCUUCCUUUGUUUCUCAUUGUGCAAGUUUAAUGGAUGGGUUACAGGGAUACUUCCUGUUCGGCUGGCAUCUCAAGGAAGAUUCAGUGCCGCUCGAGUGGUGCUGGUCGCAAAUCCGAUGGGCUAUAUGAGAUUGAGAAGCCCGAGCACUGCCAAGCCUCUCCGUGUUCCUUGUCCUUUCACAUUGGCUUGAGUCUGGUUUCUUGCUUGCCUUUGUCCUGGUGUAGCAAUCGUUUAUAGGGAACUCUAUUUGGAUUCGACGACAGUGUUCUUGUGUUUCCCUGAGAGGCUGAUGCCUGCGACAGUAAGACAGUGGAUCCUUGUGCAGUGGCGAGGGAGCUGUUCCUUCUCUGUUUUGCUGGGUGAUGUUUGCGAAUUUAAAUACCCGAUUUAUUUAGGGUUUCAAGUGAGAACUUGACCUUAAGUGGAUAUUAAUAUUCAGAAAUAGCUAAGCUCUAAAGUGUAAUGGGCUUGAAUCGUGUAUCUCGUUAUUAGUUAAU
rnacentral:misc_RNA from 1 species